AGAGUUUGAUCCUGGCUCAGAUUGAACGCUGGCGGCAUGCUUUACACAUGCAAGUCGAACGGCAGCACGGGGCAACCUGGUGGCGAGUGGCGAACGGGUGAGUAAUAUAUCGGAACAUGUCCGGAAGUGGGGGAUAACGUAGCGAAAGUUACGCUAAUACCGCAUAUGCCCUGAGGGGGAAAGGAGGGGAUCGUAAGACCUUUCGCUUUCGGAGUGGCCGAUAUCAGAUUAGCUAGUUGGUGGGGUAAAGGCCUACCAAGGCAACGAUCUGUAGCUGGUCUGAGAGGACGACCAGCCACACUGGGACUGAGACACGGCCCAGACUCCUACGGGAGGCAGCAGUGGGGAAUUUUGGACAAUGGGGGAAACCCUGAUCCAGCCAUGCCGCGUGAGUGAAGAAGGCCUUCGGGUUGUAAAGCUCUUUCAGCCGGAAAGAAAUCGUGCAACCUAAUACGUUGCAUGGAUGACGGUACCGGAAGAAGAAGCACCGGCUAACUACGUGCCAGCAGCCGCGGUAAUACGUAGGGUGCGAGCGUUAAUCGGAAUUACUGGGCGUAAAGCGUGCGCAGGCGGUUUUGUAAGACAGAUGUGAAAUCCCCGGGCUUAACCUGGGAACUGCAUUUGUGACUGCAAGGCUAGAGUGUAGCAGAGGGGGGUAGAAUUCCACGUGUAGCAGUGAAAUGCGUAGAUAUGUGGAGGAAUACCGAUGGCGAAGGCAGCCCCCUGGGUCGAUACUGACGCUCAUGCACGAAAGCGUGGGGGAGCAAACAGGAUUAGAUACCCUGGUAGUCCACGCCCUA
rnacentral:rRNA from 1 species